rnacentral:rRNA from 1 species
CUACGGGCCGCACCAGUGGGGAAUAUUGCACAAUGGGCGCAAGCCUGAUGCAGCCAUGCCGCGUGUAUGAAGAAGGCCUUCGGGUUGUAAAGUACUUUCAGCGGGGAGGAAGGGAGUAAAGUUAAUACCUUUGCUCAUUGACGUUACCCGCAGAAGAAGCACCGGCAACUCCGUGCCAGCAGCCGCGGUGAGUACGGAGGGUGCAAGCGUUAAUCGGAAUUACUGGGCGUAAAGCGCACGCAGGCGGUUUGUUAAGUCAGAUGUGAAAUCCCCGGGCUCAACCUGGGAACUGCAUCUGAUACUGGCAAGCGUGAGUCUCGUAGAGGGGGGUAGAAUUCCAGGUGUAGCGGUGAAAUGCGUAGAGAUCUGGAGGAAUACCGGUGGCGAAGGCGGCCCCCUGGACGAAGACUGACGAUCAGGUGCGAAAGCGUGGGGAGCAAACAGGAUUAGAUACCCUGGUAGUC